CCACCACUCACUUCAAUUGAAGUGGACUUGAGUUUUCCCAAGUGAUCAUUCUUUUGAAGAGUGAAUCAAGUUGGGUGACUUGAAAUAUAUGUAGGCCUUGGAUGGAACACCCCAUGGUGAAAAGGCGUGAUAAAACGUUCAACAAUUUGAACAAGUAUUAAUCGCUUCAAGUAACUUUGGGAAUAAAGUGAAGUCCUUGUUAGCCAACAAAGCAGGAAAUUGAAAGUCUUAAAAACACUUUCUGUGA
rnacentral:misc_RNA from 1 species